rnacentral:rRNA from 1 species
UACGGAGGAUCCAAGCGUUAUCCGGAAUCAUUGGGUUUAAAGGGUCCGUAGGCGGUUUAAUAAGUCAGUGGUAAAAGCCCAUCGCUCAACGGUGGAACGGCCAUUGAUACUGUUAAACUUGAAUUAUUAGGAAGUAACUAGAAUAUGUAGUGUAGCGGUGAAAUGCUUAGAGAUUACAUGGAAUACCAAUUGCGAAGGCAGGUUACUACUAAUGGAUUGACGCUGAUGGACGAAAGCGUGGGUAGCGAACAGGA